CCAAUAGCGUAUAUUAAAGUUGUUGCAGUUAAAAAGCUCGUAGUUGAAUUUCGGAAUCUGUCCGUUGGUCGGGCUUCAUUGUCCGUACUGGUGUGAUGGGUUCUUACCUUCUGAAUAACCAGCAUGCCAUUCAUUUGGUGCGCUGGGGAAGCAGGACUAUUACCUUGAAAAAAUUAGAGUGCUCAAAGCAGGCUAGUGCCUGAAUACAUUAGCAUGGAAUAAUAAAAUAGGACGGCAUGGUUCUAUUUUGUUGGUUUCUAGGAUCACCGUAAUGAUUAAUAGGGAUAGUUGGGGGCAUUAGUAUUCAAUUGUCAGAGGUGAAAUUCUUGGAUUUAUUGAAGACUAACUUCUGCGAAAGCAUUUGCCAAGGAUGUUUUCAGUAAUCAAGAACGAAAGUUAGGGGAUCGAAGACGAUCAGAUACCGUCGUAGUCUUAACCAUAAACUAUGCCGACUAGGGAUCGGACGAUGCUAAUUUUUUAAUGACUCGUUCGGCGCCUUACG
rnacentral:rRNA from 1 species